AGACGGAGUCUUGCUCUCUCACACAGGCUGCAGUGCAGUGGUGCAAUCUCAGCUCACUGCAACCUCCGCCUCCUGGGUUCAAGCAAUUCUCCUGCCCCAGGCUCUAGAGUAGCUGGGGCUACAGGCACACACCAUUACGCGCCUGGCUAAUUUUUGUAUUUUUAGUAGAGAGGGGGUUUUGCCAUGGUGGCCGGGCUGAGGAUGACUAUUUUAAAACACUUAUAUGAUCUAGGGCUAAAAUUACUCGUCAUUGUAUUACCAGUCAUGUCUUUGAUUAUAAAUUAAAUUGAACAUCUUUGAUAAACUUCUUUACCAAUUGAUCAUUCCUUUUAUGAACUGGUGAGCUACAUCGGUGUUAUCCCUUACCGUUUCACUCUUACAGUUUUCAAAACAUUUUUUCUUAUUCCCUUGUGAGUGCCUGUCAUGUAGUGACUUUAUGUAAGCACAUCUCUCAUGUAUUGAGUUGAUCAAGAUCCCAGGGGCGUGACCCAUGGCCCGGAAGGAAAGAUGCGCAGGGUCGGCCAAUGCAAGCCCUGACCUCUGUCCUCACCAGCCCACGCUCCUGCUGGAAACCCCCCUGGAUAUCAGAGGAUGGAGGAGUUGAGGAAGGAGGAUGUGGGCGUGCAGAAGCAUGGAGAGUGAAUUUGGAGGGCAGAUCAAGAAUGGCCGAUGCAAACAGUUGCUGAAUUUUUACUUUGGUCUGAGGUCUUACUUUAUCUUUUCAUUUAUUUAUGGCAUCUGUGAUAUACAGAGGUUAUAUGAAACUUUAGGCAGC
rnacentral:lncRNA from 1 species